AUUGAACGCUGGCGGCAGGCCUAACACAUGCAAGUCGAACGAGUGGCGGACGGGUGAGUAAUGUCUGGGAAACUGCCCGAUGGAGGGGGAUAACUACUGGAAACGGUAGCUCAUACCGCAUACCAUCGGAUGUGCCCAGAUGGGAGUGGAUAGUAGGUGGGGUAAUGGCUCACAUAGGCGACGACCCCUAGCUGGUCUGAGAGGAUGACCAGCCACACGGAAACUGAGACACGGUCCAGACUCCGACGGGAGGAAGCAGUGGGGAAUAUUGCACAAUGGGCGCAAGCCUGAUGCAGCCAGGCCGCGUGUAUGAAGAAGGCCUUCGGGUUGUAAAGUACUUUAAGCGAGGAGGCGUUACUCGCAGAAGAAGCACCGGCUAACUCCGUGCCAGCAGCCGCGGUAAUAC
rnacentral:rRNA from 1 species